CGUAGGUGGCAAGCGUUGUCCGGAAUUAUUGGGCGUAAAGCGCGCGCAGGUGGUCCUUUAAGUCUGAUGUGAAAGCCCACGGCUCAACCGUGGAGGGUCAUUGGAAACUGGGGACUUGAGUGCAGAAGAGGAAAGUGGAAUUCCAAGUGUAGCGGUGAAAUGCGUAGAGAUUUGGAGGAACACCAGUGGCGAAGGCGACUUUCUGGUCUGUAACUGACACUGAGGCGCGAAAGCGUGGGGAGCAAACAGGAUUAGAUACCCUGGUAGUCCACGCCGUAAACGAUGAGUGCUAAGUGUUAGGGGGUUUCCGCCCCUUAGUGCUGCAGCUAACGCAUUAAGCACUCCGCCUGGGGAGUACGGUCGCAAGACUG
rnacentral:rRNA from 1 species